UGUCAGUUUUAUUUUUUAAGGUUAACAGAUCUAACAAUUAGUGGGGGAAAAGAUGAGAAACAGCUUAUUUCUGUGGCCUCAAAGUACUUUCCCCCAAGAUAGUUAUUCGUUAUAAAGGGAAAAAUAGUAAUUUUACAACGAAGACACGUCUUUAGCCCAGUGAUCUAAGUUAAGGGCGCCAAUGAGGCCGCAACGUGGAGCCGCUCACAGGGUGCACCGAGAAGGGCAUUUUCAGUGGCGCCUCUAGCCUUCCUGCCCCACAUGCAUGACUUCAAUCUAAUUAUAAGCAAAUGUCAGACAGAAUGCGGAGCUGAGGGCCAUUCCACAAGGUAACUGGGCAGUACUCCUAAAAAAAAAAAAAAAAAAAAAAAAGGCUGAGGAACCAUCACAGGAUGGGGAGACCAGGACAACAAAACACGAUGCGGGCUCCUGGAUUGGCUCCUUGUCUUAGUUCAGUCUGUUCUAACAAACACACCGCAAUCUGGCGGCCUAUCAAGAAACACAUGCUUAUCUCUCAGGGUUCUGGAGGCCGGAAGUUCAAGAUCAAGGCAACGCUGCCUGCUCUGGACCCCUUAAAAGGAAAUCGGCUCCAGAAACCAGAUGAUCACAGUCUUGCUGUGUUUCACGGAGCAUGUUCCGGUUCCGUUGAUGUCUUCCCCGUUACCUCCCCUGCUGUGUUUGACCUUCGGCCCCUCACUGUGAAGGAUUCGGUUAGCGGCCGUGUGCCGUUGCUAGCAAGAUACUUCAACUGUGUGCUGUUUGAGUCUCCUACCGAAGAGAGGUAGGUUGGCGUGUGCGUGUUUUUCCUUUUUGCCUAAAAACAACAACAACAACAACAACAACAACAACAACACAUACUGGAGAGAUUGAAAGAAAAAAUAAACAUCAUUCCAGAGAUCCUGGUUUUUAAUCAUGACAUGAACUCUGGCAGUCCUUAAGGACACCAUUUGACGACACAAAUGUCAGUGGACAUCUCUCUCUCUGCUCAGGACACCAUAAAUGGGGUGGGUGUGGACAUAACAGGGAUGCACGGAGGAGCUCCUUUCUGGAGAACAAACAGUUUAGUAUUAUGAUUGGGGUGUUGGUUACAGGAAUCCAUGCGGGCGACAGAAAGGAAAAGACACACACACAUACACGCUCUCACCAGCCAGCACAUGUAAAAGCUGAUAAAAUCCAAAUCAGGAAUAGAGUCUAGUUAAUUGCACUGCACUCGUGUCAGUUUCCUGAUUUUGACAAUGGCCGAGGGUUAGGUAAGAUGUGAGCUGGAUGGAGGGUACCUGGGAUUCUCUGUACUAUUUUCACAACUUCCUGUGUGUCCAGAGUUAAAAUUUUUGUGUGUUUUUGUUUUCUGUUUGUGUUGAAACACGACAAACCUGUUAGGCAAAUGACAAACCGGGAAAGAGCUUCAACCAGCAGGACACAGGCUUUUGUGUCCAUCACGUGUGGGUUCCCGCCAGUUAGGGAAGACAGGAACUUUUCCAGCAGGAAAGCAAGCCAGCCCGUGCACAGGCAACCUCAGACAGUACCGGGCACCCUCCCGCUGACGGAUCCCCCGCCAGUGGUGGAGAAGAGUGGCCCACGUAUCAGCCUGGAAGAAACAGAUGCCUCUCCCUGCCACCUCCGCGACCGAGACUUUCGGCCAGCGGACACCUGUCCUCUUGUAGUUGCCCUUCACCCAUCCUUCCUUCCUGUUGGCACCCCACUAACACUUCCGGGCUUCACUGUCAGGGUAGGAAUGUGACUGACUGGAGUUUGGCCAAUGGAUGCUGUCUCACGACAAUCCUGAGUACUGACUGUGGGAGGCAGGGGUAGGAGUUUCCGACAAAGAGUUCCUGCUUUGAGACAAAUGCAGGUUUCCAGCUGUCAAGGCUCCUGGAGCACGCCCGGUGUCCUUUCCCACCGGUUCUGUCUUUCUGUGACUUGUGACCAGUCCCCUCCUUGACUUUAAGUGAAAGACUACUUAUUCCCAAGACUGAUUUUUU